GACGAACGCUGGCGGCGUGCUUAACACAUGCAAGUCGAACGGAAAGGCCCUGCUUUUGUGGGGUGCUCGAGUGGCGAACGGGUGAGUAACACGUGAGUAACCUGCCCUUGACGUUGGGAUAACUUCAGGAAACUGGGGCUAAUACCGGAUAGGAGCUCCUGCUGCAUGGUGGGGGUUGGAAAGGUUCGGCGGUUGGGGAUGGACUCGCGGCUUAUCAGCUUGUUGGUGGGGUAGUGGCUUACCAAGGCUUUGACGGGUAGCCGGCCUGAGAGGGUGACCGGCCACAUUGGGACUGAGAUACGGCCCAGACUCCUACGGGAGGCAGCAGUGGGGAAUAUUGCACAAUGGGCGGAAGCGUGAUGCAGCAACGCCGCGUGCGGGAUGACGGCCUUCGGGUUGUAAACAGCUUUCGCCUGUGACGAAGCGUGAGUGACGGUAAUGGGUAAAGAAGCACCGGCUAACUACGUG
rnacentral:rRNA from 1 species